rnacentral:rRNA from 1 species
GAACCGUCCAAACGUUUAUUCGGAAUCAUUGGGCUUAAAGGGUGCGUAGGCGGUGUGGUCAGUUGGGUGUGAAAUCCCUCGGCUCAACCGAGGAACUGCGCCCAAUACUGCCACACUCGAGGGAGACAGAGGUAAGCGGAACUGAUGGUGGAGCGGUGAAAUGCGUUGAUAUCAUCAGGAACACCAGUGGCGAAGGCGGCUUACUGGGUCUCUUCUGACGCUGAGGCACGAAAGCUAGGGGAGCGAACGGGUAUUAGAUACCCCGGUAGUCCUAGCUGUAAACGAUGAGCACUUGAUCGGAGACUCCUCCAUAGGUUUCCGGUCGUAGCGAAAGUGUUAAGUGCUCCGCCUGGGGAUAUGGUCGCAAGGCUG